rnacentral:rRNA from 1 species
GACGAACGCUGGCGGCGUGCUUAACACAUGCAAGUCGAACGGAAAGACCCUGCUUUUGUGGGGUGCUCGAGUGCCGAACGGGUGAGUAACACGUGAGUAACCUGCCCUUGACUUUGGGAUAACUUCAGGGAACUCGGGCUAAUACCGGAUAGGAGCUCCUGCUGCAUGGUGGGGGUUGGAAAGUUUCGGCGGUUGUGGAUGGACUCGCGGCUUAUCAGCUGGUUGGUGGGGUAGUUGCUUACCAAGCCUUUGACGGGUAGCCCGCCUGAGAGGGUGACCGGCGUCCAUGCGACUGAGAGACGGCGCAGACUGGUACGGGCGGCAGAAGUGGGGAAUCUUGCACAAUGGGCGGAAGCCUGAUGCAGCAACGCCGCGUGCGGGAUGACGGCCUUCGGGUGGUAAACCGAUUUGGCCUGUGACGAAGCGUGAGUGACGGUAAUGGGUAAAGAAGCACCGGCUAACUACGUG